rnacentral:misc_RNA from 1 species
GAUGAAGAACGUAGUGAAAUGCGAUAAGUAGUGUGAAUUGCAGAAUUCAGUGAAUCAUCGAAUCUUUGAACGCACAUUGCGCCCUUUGGUAUUCCUUAGGGCAUGCCUGUUCGAGCGUCAUUUAAACCUUCAAGCUCAGCUUGGUGUUGGGUGACUGUCCGCUUCACCGCGGACUCGCCUCAAAAUUAUUGGCGGCCGGUACAUUGGCUUCGAGCGCAGCAGAAACGCGAACUCGGGCCCGUCGUAUUGGCUCCCAGAAGCUAUCUUCACAAUUUUGACCUCGGAUCAGGUAGGGAUACCCGCUGAACUUAAGCAUAUCAAUAAGCGGAGA